GGGUGCACAGCUGAGAUUAGAGAGAAAGAAAUAUUGAUUUUGUGAAGUAUUUUGCGGGUCCCACCUAAUAAUGAAUGUGGGUUAAGAGAAAAGAUAUUUCACUUGGUUUUGUUUUGUAUAUAAAUAUAUAUAUAUAUAUAUAUAUAUAUAUAUAUAUUGCAUAAGACAUGUGAGCAGGUGGUGCCAAAUUAGUGGAAAGCAAAAAGAAAUGGAAAUGUAAUGGUUUUGGGUCCCACAAGGAAUUAUGUUGCCAUACUUUCAUGUGGAUGUGGCUUUGCCUUGUGGUAUAGAUACAUAGAUAUUAUUUGUUUGAAGAAGAUAGGGAUAAGGAAAAGUUGUAAUGAUGUUGUCUAAUAGAGGAGUAUGGUGAACUGUGCUUGAUAUUUGUAUUUUGUUUCAGUGCAAAUUUGUCUAUAUAUUGAGGUGUGGUUAUUCACUAAGUAAGGAUAUAGAGAGUUUGAGAACAGAGAAGGAAAUUGAGGAAAAACACAGUGAGCCGAGACAUUGAAGGCCAGACUUGCAAUUUUGAUGCUCAAGUGUUGAUUAUUUCUAUUUACUGCAUAGGGUUCUUUAUACCUUGAAUUGCUUGGAUGAUUUUAUCUCAAAUUAUUUUGUGACUGCUUUUUUGUUAAAUUGCAUAUACAUAUUUUUGUUCAAAACUAUAUUUAUAUUUUGUGAACUAAUUUUCCUGAAACCUCUUUGAGAUUCUUGUUAUGGUUUUUCCUACUAGUACUUCCCCCGUCUCACCCCUUUCCAGUUUCAGGUACCGUGGAUUGCUAGUUGCGGGCUUAGGUGGAAGAGUUGGUGUUGAAGAUUUAAUUUAUUUAUUUAGAGAUUUUGUUGUAUUUAUUUGAGGAAUUGAUUUUGUAUCAAUAAAAUGAUAUUUCUUUUAAGAUCCUGAGUGUAAUACUAAAGUAUUUUGAUUUGAAUAUAUUGAGGAAUUUAUUUAGAAAAUUCAGGGCAGUACAAAUUGGUAUCAGAGACUGUACCCAGUCGGAAGUAUGAGUUUAGUGAUGAUGUUGUCGGGUGUGUGUCGGCGAGUGUUUAGUACUGACUAGCUAUCACUCGUAGCCAGUUGUUUGUUGGCAGAUGUCGUUCACUACCAGCAACUUGGAGGAUUAAUUUUUGUGAUUGGAGUUUGUGGACGGAUAAUUAGCACUGUUAGCUACCACAACAUUUUUCAUGUCACUGAAUCUCGCAUCACCUGGGGUAAGGAUUUCUUUCAUGUUUUGCCACUUCUUUGAUGUUUUCUGGUAUGCGAAAAUUGUUGGAUCUGAAUUUCGGGACGAAAUUCUUUUUAAAUGGUGGAGAAUGUGACAAGCCAGAUUUUUAAGAAUUUAAAUUUAAUUUAUUAUAUGAUUUUUAGUUGACAAAAUUGAUUAUUUAGAGACUUACCCAAUUGAUAUUUUAAUUGAUUUUGAUUUUAGUUUUGUAUGCUGAAGCUUCUGGAUGAAAUUGGUGAAAGGAGAUUUAAUGGCUAUUGUUUUUGGAAUUGCUGCAUAUAUAUAUAUAUAUAAUUCAAAAUGGUGGCAUGAAGCUUGCUGCCAACCAUCCGAAAAUCAAUCGGAAAUGAAUAGAUAAAUGUAAUGAUGGAAAAGUGAUGGUAAAGGUAAAGUGGCGGGUCCACUUAAAUAAUGUUAAGGUGUUAAUUUGGUUUUUUAUUGUGAUUGUAUAUAUAUGAUAUAUUUUUGGCUUCUGAUAAAAGGAUGGGAGUAGCCAACAAUAAAAAGAAAUGAGUGAGAAAUGGUACGGAUCCUACUAAUGUGGUUUUUGCCAUAAUCUUUUUUUAUUUGAUUUUUUUGCACUUGAGUAUAUACAUGUUAUACAUACAUUGCAUCUGUUGGAUGGAAAAAGGGUGCACAGCUGAGAUUAGAGAGAAAGAAAGAUUGAUUUUGUGAAGUAUUUUGCAGGUCCCACCUAAUGAUGAAAGUGGGUUAAGAAAAAAGAUAUUUCACUUGGUUUUGUUUUGUAUAUAAAUAUAUAUAUAUAUAUAUAUAUUGCAUAAGAAAUGUGAGCAGGUGGUGCCGAAUUAGUGGGAAGCAAAAAGAAAUGGAAAUGUAAUGGUUUUGGGUCCCACAAGGAAUUAUGUUGCCAUACUUUCACGUGGCUGUGGCUUUGCUUUAUGGUAUAGAUACAUAGAUAUUAUUUGUUUGAAGAAGAUAGGGAUAAGGAAAAGCUGUAAUGAUGUUGUCUGAUAGAGGAGUAUGGUGAACUUUGCUUGAUAUUUGUAUUUUGUUUCGGUGCAAAUUUGUCUAUAUAUUAAGGUGUGGUUGUUCACUAAGUAAGGAUACCGAGAGUUUGAGAACAGAGAAGGAAAUUAAGGAAAAGCACAGUGAACCGAGACAGUGAAGGCCAGAAUUUCGAUUUUGAUGCUCAAGUGUUGAUUAUUUCUAUUUACUGUGUAGGGUUCUUUAUACCUUGAAUUGCCUGGAUGAUUUUAUCUCAAAUAUUUUGUGACUGCUUUUUGUUAAAUUGCAAAUACAUAUUUUUGUUCAAAAGUAUAUUUAUAUUUUGUGAACUAAUUUUCAUGAAACCUCUUUGAGAUUCUUGUUAUGGUUUUUCCUACUCAAACUUCCCCCGUCUCACCCCUUCCAGUUUCAGGUACUGUGAAUUGCUAGUUGCGGGCUUAGGUGGAAGAGUUGGUGUUGAGGAUUUCAUUUAUUUAUUUAGAGAUUUUGUUGUAUUUAUUCGAGGAAUUGAUUUUCUAUCAAUAAAAUGUUAUUUCUUUUGA